AAGACCUAGUAUUGAAAAAGAUCCUUCCUCUAUAAAAGAAUUUUAGAGAAAAAUGAGUAAACUUGGGAAUGUCCUUAUGUUGUAAAGAAGACAUUUUCCGGAGGAGCACUGAUCUUGAGUGAGAUGGAUAGUAAAACUUGUCUAAUCCUGUAAACUCAGAUUCAAUCAAGAAAUGCUUCGCUUAAAGAUGGAGAGGAUCAAGGUAAAAACCCGCAAAUGGCACUUUGAGUCGUAAAAAAAAAGAAAAGAAAAAAGAGAUGAGAUGUGAUGUGAAAAAAAUGAAAAUGAAAAAUGAAAAAUGGAAAAAGUAAAAGUGGAGAGGCUAAGGUGAAAACUCGCAAGGGGCACCUUAGACCAAAGGGGAUUUGAGUUGAAAACCUGAAAAAGGCGACUCAAAUAUUG
rnacentral:lncRNA from 1 species